rnacentral:rRNA from 1 species
AUUGAACGCUGGCGGCAGGCCUAACACAUGCAAGUCGAACGAGUGGCGGACGGGUGAGAAAUGUCUGGGAAACUGCCUGAUGGAGGGGGAUAACUACUGGAAACGGUAGCUAAUACCGCAUACCAUCGGAUGUGCCCCGAUGGGAUUAGCUGGUAGGUGGGGUAAAGGCUCACCUGGGCGACGAUCCCUAGCUGGUCUGAGAGGAUGACCGCCCGCACGGGAACGUGGACACGGUCCAUACGCCUACGGGAGGCAGCAGUGGGGAAUAUGGCGCAGUGGGCGCAAGCCUGAUGCAACCAUAGCGCGUGUGUUACGAAGGCCUUCGGUUUGUAAAGUACUUUCAGCGGUGAGGCGUUACCCGCAGAAGAAGCACCGGCUAACUCCGUGCCAGCAGCCGCGGUAAUAC